AGAACAUUGGGUGAUGGAUGGUGUCAAGGAUGUUUCACAACAGCCGCUCAGGUGGCCUGUGAACCAAACCACCCUCUUACUGGUGAUGCUGUUCAUGGACCAGUUUGCUAAUGUUUCUCAGAUCCAGUGACCCUCCGCCUGGAUGUUGCAGACAAUGAGAGUGUUAACUAGAAGAGAGCGCUCCAGCACCAGUGAACCCGCCGGAAGUGGACAAGCUCAUUUGCAGCCAGGGACAUGUAUACUGUUCAUUCUAAAGAAGAAGGAUGCAAGUGGUCCCUUCUCCGCUGAUCCACUGAGUAUUUUUUAAGAAAAGCCAGUGCGUUCCCAGGCAAAGUUAAAAAGGU